GACGACCGCUGCCGGUGUGCUUAACCACAUGCAAGUCGAACGAAGACCGAUGAAAGCUUGCUUCUAUCAAUCUUAGUGGCGAACGGGUGAGUAACGCGUAAUCAACCUGCCCUUCAGAGGGGGACAACAGUUGGAAACGACUGCUAAUACCGCAUACGAUCCAAUCUCGGCAUCGAGACUGGAUGAAAGGUGGCCUCUAUUUAUAAGCUAUCACUGAAGGAGGGGAUUGCGUCUGAUUAGCUAGUUGGAGGGGUAACGGCCCACCAAGGCGAUGAUCAGUAGCCGGUCUGAGAGGAUGAACGGCCACAUUGGGACUGAGACACGGCCCAGACUCCUACGGGAGGCAGCAGUGGGGAAUCUUCCGCAAUGGACGAAAGUCUGACGGAGCAACGCCGCGUGGGUGAUGACGGCCUUCGGGUUGUAAAGCUCUGUUAAUCGGGACGAAUGGUUCUUGUGCGAAUAGUGCGAGGAUUUGACGGUACCGGAAUAGAAAGCCACG
rnacentral:rRNA from 1 species